AUUAUAACAGCUCAAGUUUCAAACAAAAUUAAAUGAAAGCUUUUAAUAAGUUCUCUACAGUAAGUAUUUAUGUAUUUUAUUAUAUAAUUCAUUGGCGGUCUCUUUACCAUGCAUGAAAACACAUUGCUCGCGUAUCCUGUGCCCAUGUCUCGUCACAUUUCAUUAUUUCUAUUUUUGCCAUAAAAAAGUCUCUCUCUCUUGGUCCCUCUCCUCCUUCGUGACUAACAACUUUAUCAUAAGACGUCCCAAAUGACAGUUUCCCUGAUUUCAGUCAGUUAAGCAUAUUUAUAAUAUAUAUGGAAUGAAUAAAAACGAGUUGGCACGCAUAUAGCGGCUGCAGUGCAUAACAGAAGAGCAGUGCGUAGAAUAAGACAGCAGCUGUCUUCUACGUUUCUAUCAAAAACUAAUAAAUUAUAGUUUUAUAGAUUACAAAGGAAAUGUUUACUGUUCAUUUUUUUAUUUAUUUAUUGUAUGGAAAAAUCCCACUUAAAGAAACAGACCGCCAUUACAUUUUUCCUCUCGCGCACCCCCUGGUGGCAGCUCGCGUACCCCUGGGGGUCCGCGUACCACACUUUGGGAAUCCCUGCACUAGAGCAAAGGCGACAUCAUUGGUGUAUCAAGUAUGUACAAGAACUAAGUAAAUGAUAAUAAGUAAAGAAAUAUGGAAUCCGUUAAGUAAAUGUAAAUGUUUUAAUAUAAUAUACAAGUAAAAAUAAAUAAAAUAGCAGCGAUUUCUUUGCUUUUAAUGAUACACAGCUGCUAGGUUCCAUUAUUCCGAAGCAGGAGGGGGCAGUAAUGUACAUACGCUGGUUGCCAGCCGCCGUUAAUACUCAAGUAAGUUAGAGAAAAGGCAACUCGGAAAAGUGAGGAAAAAUAAGGGAUUAUUGGCUUGUUUUACACGUAUCAUUGUUUUGUGUUCCCCUCCUUCGUAAAAAAACUGACAAUUCCACGUCAACUCGAACACGCAAAACCCCGGUAUGAAGCAUUGUUAUGAGCAUGCCAAACCAACAGAUGGCGAUAUAUUCCUUAACCCAGAGAAGCCACUCCAGUCUCUUCUUGCCAUGAACAAGGAAAAAGUGCGGGAGCUGACUUAGCAGACGUACGUGGUUCAGGUAAGUUUUCGACAAAAAUCUUAUAUUAAAAGUCAUAAAAGUUAGUAUAAGGCACUCCGUCUACUACAGCACAGCAAAUAAAGUAACGUUUGUAGUACUAGCAGCGCUAUUCAGAUUUGAGGCAUUUUUGCUAAAAUGUUUGUGUAUUAUUUAAUAGAGAUUAUAAUUUCCAUUAUUUUUAUCAAUCUAAAUACCUUUCACUUGUUCAGUAUUGUGUUUUUGUUGCUAUAUAAACGAUGAACUUAAUAUAGGCAGAUGGCCAUUGCUUUUCUGAACAGUAGUUAGAAGUAUUCUGAGGUAAUUUAAAUUUUAGGAAAAAUAUGAGGAUGAUUAUCGAUGAUUAUAUAAUUGAGUUCAAUAACAUGGUAAUUUUGGCUGUUUCAUUUCAUUAUGAGUGUUUGUUUGAUGUUUAAAUGAUCAACAUAAUAUUAUGGUUAAUUGUUCUGUCCCGUUUGUUAGAAAAGCUUUUGCAAAUAUCUUGUCUGAGGUAAAUUGUCAUUUUAAACACAUUUAGUGAGUGUGAAUAAUAUGAUUUUUGUCUCUAUAUAUAUUUAUGAUGCUCUGGCAGUUUUAGUUACUGUAUAAAGUGUAUUAUUAUGAUCUAUCUGUAUGAUAGUUUGAGUGCUUACAAUGGCAGCAAAUUUAAAAACAAAACAAACAAGAGAUGUUUACAUUGACAUUAUUUAAGUUAGUUCAGAUUCUUUGACAACCAUUUUGUUAUGCACAGUGCAAUCUGAUUUACGUUAUUGUAUAUCAGAUGUAUGAAAUGUACAGUGAUUUAAUGAACAGGUGUUUCAUAUCAUAGUCAUUUGCCAUACUGUGGAUUUUUAACACAUCAAGGGCUGGAAAUGACUAAAUAAAUUUCUUGCCUUUUUCCUUAGCUAAUAUUUCCCUCAUAUAUGUUUCCUCUCUUCUUGUGUGUUAACAGGUCAUUGGCACUGUUGUAUCACAACAUCAUUUGCUGGCAUGUACAUCUAGGAUGCGAUCUUUCCAGAUGAGAUUCUCUCCAAUGCCAGCAAACCGACAGUGGAACACACGAGCCAGCACUUCUCCCACCACAUUGCCUCAGGCUUUUGAGAUACCCACUUAUAACUGCUUCUCCCCCCUAUGUUGGGAUCACCGGGGCCUCCAUCGCCGGCAUGUACACGCUACAUUAGGUGUAGAAAUUAUGUGAGCUGCAGUCUGGAUCCUGCUUCUGUCAGAUGACCUAACACAAAUGGAAAGAUGACAUCGACCCUUGCAAGGACUUCAGACGAUGCCAGCACUGGACUACAUACAGUGGUAAUCAUAUUUUCAGUAGUCCGUGUCAAAUAUUAUUUCAAGUGCCCAAACGGCAUUUGGAAUUUACCCAAACAUACGCAACAGCUAAACAGAGAUUCGCGGCAGCAGAAGAGAUGGCUAGUCAGGAGGAGCAAUCCGAUGAAAAGUUGGCAUUUUCAAGGUGGAGAUAUAAGCACUACUUCAAAUUCAUUGUGGUCAAAGCAAGAACGUGCAUGUAAUGUGUACAUUAUGUCCGGGAGCGAAGACUUUGUCGACAUCCAUUGUAAGCAACUCUAAUUUAAUGAAUCAUAUUGUUAAACUGCUUUUUUAAUGAAUAAAACGAAAUACAGCAGCCUAUGUCUUCCAGACUAUUUAUCUCAGUUUGAUUUAUUUAAUUUGCUACAGUUAUUGCAAACACACUUUAUAUUAUUUAACUGUUUACUUUUGAAGAAAAUACCUGAAGUACAGAAUGUCUACCAGACCAGUUGUCUGACAUUGGGAGUUUGAUUUAUUUUAAUUAAGAAUACGACUACAGAGCAAACACACUUUUUGUUGUUUAAAAGUUAACUUUUUGUGAACAAAACACUUGGAAGUACAGGUUGUUUACUUGACCAGUUGUCUCAGGUUGAGAGAGUUUUAUUUAAUUUAGUUUGCUGAAGUUAAAUGCACUUUAUAUGGUGUAACUGUUUACUUAUCUUACAAAGAUAAUACUUGAAGUGUAGGAUAAAACUCUUGCUGUCUGUUGAUGUGCAAUAAAUAUGGAAAUUUAUGUAUGAACACCUGUCUGUUCUACUCAUUUCAACUGACAUGUGAAAACUGCUAAAAAAUACAAAUUCUUUGACAUAUAGCAACUUUUUUUUUUAACCGUAACGCAAAUAGUUACUUUCCCUGGUAACGAGUUACUUUUAUUAUAGAGUAAUUGAGUUACUAACUCAGUUACUUUUUGGAACAAGUAGUGAGUAACUAUAACUAAUUACUUUUUUUAAGUAACGUUCCCAACACUGGUGAUCACACAGGCCCUGUUUAUGUUCUUAACCGGCAUGAGUUUAUUUAUUGUGAUAUACACAAAACAAGAUAUUUUGAUAAAUGAUGUUAAGUACACAGCUGCUCAUUUACUUCAAUAAAAUGUAUUUUUCCUAUUAUGGAAGUCAUUGGGUACCAUCAACUGUAUAAUUGACAUCAUUUAUCAGAUUAAAGAAUUUUUGGCAAGUUUAUAACAACAUGAAGGUGAGUAAAUGAUACAAUUAUUAUUUUUUACGUAAACUUUUAGCUUUGAAGGAUUAUUUACUCAACCCAAUGUCAUCCAAGAUGUUUGUCUUUCUUUCUUUAGCCAAACACAAUUAGAGUUAUAUUAAAUACUGUCCUGGCCAGUGGCGGCUCGUGACUGCUCUUCUGAGGGGUGCAAAUUCAAAAUAAGUGUUCAGAGUGUCAUGUGUGUUGCUCGUGUUUUCAAAAAUAUGUGUUUGUUGCGUCAUGUAAACCAUGUGCAUCACGUGUCUUGUCAAAAGAAGUGCCUGCUGCACACGCGUCAAAACCGUUUAUGAUAAAAGAGAUGCUCACGUUCACAAAAUACACGCAACACAUCUAGACGACAUCUUCCUAAUGAGCAGACGCUCCCUGAGCGACAUCAUGCCGAUGGAACUUUGAAAGUCGGCACAACGUCGGCCAGAUGUAUGUGUGCUGUCUGGGAAAUUUGUCUCAUCACAAUACCCAUAACCAUGGAAUUUUUUGUUAAACUAAGGUAAUACAAAUCAUAAUCAAUCUGACAAAAACCAUUUUGUCAAUAGUUAAAAUUAUGGUUAAAUUUUCUAAGGAGAACUAUACAAAAUUAUCUGUUUGAAAGACGGGGAAGCGCACCUGUCAAUCAGCGCUAUUAUAACAGAGCGAGGCGAGAGAUGAACGUACGGAGCUUCUGAGGGGACAUUUGCAAAAAAAUAAAUAAAUAAGACUUUUGCGUGCUCACGAGAAACUAUCGCAUGCUCACGAGAAACCUUUCUCGAGCCCACGAGAAACCUUUCUCGUGCGCACGCGUUAGUGCAUUGUGCCUGCUAUUUAUAAAACAGCCUCUA